GAUGAAGAACGUAGCGAAACGCGAAAGGUAAUGCGAAUUGCAGAAUUCAGUGAAUCAUCGAAUCUUUGAACGCACAUUGCACCUCUCGGUAUUCCGGGAGGUAUGCCUGUUCGAGCGUCAUUUGUACCCUCAAGCUCUGCUUGGUGUUGGGUGUUUGUUCCGCCUCUGUGUGUGAACUCGCCUCAAAACAAUUGGCAGCCGGCGUACUUGUUUCGGAGCGCAGCACAUUUUGCGAUCCAGAUCAACGUACAGCGGCAUCCAAGAAGCCUUAUUUAACGCUCUUGACCUCGGAUCAGGUAGGGAUACCCGCUGAACUUAAGCAUAUCAAUAAGCGGAGGA
rnacentral:misc_RNA from 1 species